GUGAACUCUACAGUGGGAAAGAGGAAACAGCCAUGGCAGAGAGAUGAUGCUCCAUCCUCCUAAACACUAGUUCCCUCUUCUCAUCUACCUGGCACUUCCAGGCUGACUGAGCAACAUCUCAUGACUUCACCCACCGAGUCUCACCAUGAUCCCCUGAGGCAGACAGAUGAAGAUCAUUUCCCCCAUUUUACAGGAUGUUUCGUUUUGCAACGCUAAGCUCUUUCUGAAGAGUUUUGUACUUCAUCCUGAGAGUUGUUGAAUAAAAGGAACUGGUUAUUUUAGUGCAUCAGGCAUAAAAGAAAACACACCUGCUCUGCACCCUGGGAGGUAAGGGGAAGAGAAGUGAUUGCUGGCUGAACAUGAGAGCCUUCUGGAGAAGAAGUCCUCUGUGAUAUGUGUGGGACCUGUGGGGAACCCCUAGGUGAGAAAGGUAGGGACCCUGCCUCAGAGAAACAGAGCUGAGAGAGACAGGUGAAUUCUCAUCCAACACAGAGCAUGAUAUUCAUUAUUUUAAUGAUAAAAGUGACACUGAUAUGAUAAAAAAAAAAUGAAGCCAGUGAAAACAGAUGCAUGAAGAGCAAAACUAAAUGAAGUCAAGGACUGACUAACUCAACUCCCUAAAUGCAGGGGCUAGAAAUGAACAGCCAUUGCCCUGGGGAGGGGAAGACAUGUUGGUGGAGAAGUCUUCUGAAAUUGGAACUUGAGCUGAGGUAGAGGCUAAGUUUGGGGAGAGAUUCAGAAAGAAGACACUCCAGCCUGGGGCUGCUACAUCAGCAAAGUCAUGAUUGGAAUGUCAAGUAUUAAGAGUGUAUACGUCUGCUUGUGCUGCUAUAACAAAAUUGCCGCAGACUGGGAGGCUUGCGGUAUGAGAGGCUAGGACUCAAGGCCAAGGUGUCAAGAAUCUAUUUCUGGUGAGAACUCCCUUGCUGGGUUGCAGACGGCUUCCUUCUCAUUGUGUCCUCACAUGGCAGAGAAAGAAUGAGCUCCUGUCUCUUCCUCUUCUUCUAAGGACAAUACAUCAUGGCAGCCCUACAUUCACGAUGUCAUCUAAACCUAAUUACUUCCCAAGGACCCCACUUCCAAAUAUCACAUUGGGGGUAAGGUUUCAACACACGAACUUGAGGGGUGGGGAAAAAAACAUUUAACAGAGAUUAAGGUCAUAACAGAGACUAAGGUCAUGGGCGAGAUGCGUGAAAUAGGGAAAGAAACUCUAACUUUGCAGGUGACUUGCCUUUUUCCAGACCCUGUCUUCCCUCUGCUCCUUUAUGGCUUUAAUUCUAGCUCAGGUAGGGGCAAUCAAACCUAGUGCUGGAGAAAAAGUAGCUCUUGAGAUGCCUUCAAACAAUUCAGAAUCCUGGGCGCUGCCGCAGAUGGACUCUUGGGACAGAGUCUCUUGGGACAGAGCCAGAGAAAAAUCUGCAUUUGUUUGUCUGUUUGUUUUCUCAAGUGAUUGUUUUCAUUGAGGUAAAAUUCCCACAACAUAAAAUUGACCAUUUUAAAGUGGCACUUAGAUAGAUUCAAAAUGUAUGCCAGCUCUCUCGAGCUCCAAAACAUUCAUCAUCCCCCAAAGAAACUCCUUAGCCAUUAAAAAGGAACUCCAUAACCCAUGCUCUCCCCCCAGCCCCUGGAAAGCACUAAUCUGCUUUCUGUUUCUAUGGCGGUGCCGACUCUGGUUACUGCGAAUAA